AGAAUCCAGGGAAAGACUGACAGCAUUACUGAAAGAGGACCCAGGAUCCUAAAAUCUGUCUGACAGCAUUACUUAUGACAACUAUCUCUUUUGUUGGAUGGUCUGUCCCAUAUUAAUGACUCAGGGGGAAGAAAUCUUAUGCAGUUGUCAGAUCUGUUCCUUCCAACCCAUAUUGUCAUCUCUGACGAAUGGAGCUAUUAGGAUUUUUAGCAGAAGAAUUUGUCAGCACCCACUGCUUGUGAGAUUCAUUCAUAGCUGAUUUCAGGGACUGAACUUGGAAAAACAACAUGAGCAUCGUAUGAAUGUUACAGUUUCUUCACAGAAAAGAUGUUUUUAUGGGAACCAAUUAACUGUAGAUUAAUUCCUUUCCUUUUAAAUCGUUUCUUAACUGUUCUAGAAUUCUGUGAUUCAUUGUCUGCUUCCACACAUAGCAACACCAAAAAGACCUCUUUGAAUUGUAAAAUGUAUUAUUAUUUUAUAAGCAGUACCAAAUAGAGUUCACCCUCUAUUUGGUAUGAUUAGAUAAAGCCGGUAGCUUAAACCAUUGAGAAAAAGAGAGAGGGAAGCUUAAAUAAUACCUCUGUGUAAUAAAUAGAUGAGCAGCAGGGCAUGUUUCUGCUACUUUAUACAUUUUAAUGUGUGAGCUUAGCUGUUUGUGAUUCCCAUGCUGCUGAUAAUAAAACAAUUCUGCUG